AAACGGCGAUGCUUAUGGCGAUUUAGGGCUUCAAUGGUUUCGCGACGGUGGGAACCAGGUAUUGGUGAGGGAGGCUUGAUUGAGGCAGACAAGGAUCAUGGAUAUAUGGAAUGUAGAUCUAUUUCAAAUCUCAGAGGUAUUGCGAUGGGGAUGGGAAAGAGGUUUUCAAAGGGAUUAAGGGAACAAAAUAUCAGAAAGGAUCAGACUUUGAUCAUCAUCAAGAUCAAAUUGCAAGGCUAUCAAGGUAUCAUCUCGGAUCCCUCAAUUGCAUGGUUUUCCUUACUUAUCAAUGAGAUCGGGAGGAUCUAUUUUGGAUAUGAUUUUGUGGGAUUAGUGAUUUGUGUAAUCUGGAAUGAAAUUCUAUGGAUUGAAUUUCUCUGUGGUAAUGAAUUGGGGAUGGCGUGAAUUUCUCUGUGGUAAUGAAUUGGGGAUGGCGAGUAUUCUGGGUCUUGGUUCAUAUCUGAUAGUGAAUCAUGGGGAUGAGUAUUGGCUGGUACGAGGUUUAUAUUUCGUUGUGACUGUUGUCUCUAAAGUUUCUAGUUUUAAUGACACAGAGUUAGUAUGGUUGAAAAGAGGGGCUUUCCAAUCUGUUGCGUACAGGGUUCACUGGUCUUGCUUUGAUGGAGAGGUAUGGAACAUCUAUGGUUUGGUGGUAAAUAUAAUUUGGAGUCCUGAUGUUUUACAGGUAGCUGGAGAGUUUGAUCGUACCAAACGGGGUGUAGCUGGUGAGUUCGGAUCAAGGUGCAAACUUUGUUUUAAGGAUUAUUGGAGUAAGGAGAGAAGCGGUGAGGGAUACAAAUGGGGAACCUAUGAGUUUGAAUCACUGGAACGAGAUCAAGCUAGGGGAGAAUGAAGUCUGAAUGCUGUCUCUUUAAACACAUUCAGCUUCUUUAACAACAGGCUUUCUCUUCUGCUGCAACUAGAAUUUUGCUGGUUAGUUGGGAAAGAGGCUGAUCUAGUGCAAACACUGAUUAUUGGGAUUAGGAUCUUCAUGGCAUUGAGCGGGGUAGCGGGGAGCUUCAUAGGUCGUAGGGUGAUCGACAUAUUAAGAAGGAAUUCAAGUCGGAGAUCCUUGAUUCAAAGUCAUCAAACUUCAAGGAGCAGAGGUUUUUGGGAUGAGUUAUAUGGAUGGAGGGAGACAGAGAGUUCACGGUUUUCAAUUAUAGCAAAAAUAGCAAAUGAUUUGAGUGGUGUAACUGGUUUGUUUGUUAUUAUAUUGAUGGAGCUGUAGUGUCCUAUAGAGUUUGACUUAUUUCAAAGAUCACGUUUUGGGAUACGAGGUUGUUUGGAUUGGAGGUCAUGUGGUUUUAAUGUUCAGAUUAGUGUAAAGAUUCGUCUUUUCCUAAUUUUGUUGAUAGUAGCAAGGGCUAAGUUUUUUCCUUU
rnacentral:lncRNA from 1 species